rnacentral:rRNA from 1 species
CUGGUACAAAGGGUUGCAACCCGCGAGGGGAGCCAAUCCCAUAAAGCCAGUCGUAGUCCGGAUCGUAGUCUGCAACUCGACUACGUGAAGUCGGAAUCGCUAGUAAUCGUGGAUCAGAAUGUCACGGUGAAUACGUUCCCGGGUCUU